GAUGAAGAACGUAGCGAAAUGCGAUAAGUAGUGUGAAUUGCAGAAUUCAGUGAAUCAUCGAAUCUUUGAACGCACAUUGUGCCCCUUGGUAUUCCAUGGGGCAUGCCUGUUCGAGCGUCAUUUGUACCUUCAAGCUUUGCUUGGUGUUGGGUGUUUGUCUCGCCUUUGCGUGUAGACUCGCCUUAAAAUAAUUGGCAGCCGGCGUAUUGAUUUCGGAGCGCAGUACAUCUCGCGCUUUGCACUCAUAACGACAGCGUCCAAAAGUACAUUUUACACUCUUGACCUCGGAUCAGGUAGGGAUACCCGCUGAACUUAAGCAUAUCAAUAGCGGAGGA
rnacentral:misc_RNA from 1 species